AGAGUUAAAUAGCACGUGAAAUUGUUGAAAGGGAAACGAUUGAAGCCAGUCGUACCUUCGGGUAAUCAACCUUUCGGGUGCGAUUCUGUGGGUCUUGGGAGCUUCACGGCCCUUAUGGUCUACAUAUUUGUGUCCUUUGAGUGUACUUUCCCGGUGGUAGGUUAACAUCAAUUUCGGUUAUCAUAAAAUGAUGGGAGGAAUGUAGCUUCGAUCUCGGUUGAAGUGUUAUAGCCUCUGGUAGAUGUGAUGAUUGGGAUUGAGGAUUGCAACGAAUACCCUUUGGGCUACCCGUCUGAUCUCUGAUGGUUGCUAUGGUGACGAAAGCGUGCUUAUGUUAUCAGAGUUUGAUCGUCAAAAGGUUAGAACGGGUUAAAUUCGUUAAGGAUGUUGACGUAAUGGCUUUAAACGACC
rnacentral:rRNA from 1 species